rnacentral:rRNA from 1 species
CCUACGGGUGGCUGCAGUGGGGAAUCUUGGACAAUGGGCGAAAGCCUGAUCCAGCCAUGCCGCGUGUGUGAAGAAGGCCUUCGGGUUGUAAAGCACUUUCAGUGGGGAAGAAAGCCUUGGGGCUAAUACCCUCGAGGAAGGACAUCACCCACAGAAGAAGCACCGGCUAACUCCGUGCCAGCAGCCGCGGUAAUACGGAGGGUGCGAGCGUUAAUCGGAAUUACUGGGCGUAAAGCGCGCGUAGGCGGUCUGAUAAGCCGGUUGUGAAAGCCCCGGGCUCAACCUGGGAACGGCAUCCGGAACUUUCAGGCUAGGGUGCAGGGGAGGAAGGUAAAAUUCCCGGUGUAGCGGUGAAAUGCGUAGAGAUCGGAGGGAAUACCAGGGCGAAGGCGGCCUUCUGGACUGACACUGACGCUGAGGUGCGAAAGCGUGGGUAGCAAACAGGAUUAGAUACCCUAGUAGUC